rnacentral:rRNA from 1 species
UACGUAGGGCGCAAGCGUUGUCCGGAAUUAUUGGGCGUAAAGAGCUCGUAGGCGGCUUGUCACGUCGGGUGUGAAAGCCCGGGGCUUAACCCCGGGUCUGCAUUCGAUACGGGCUAGCUAGAGUGUGGUAGGGGAGAUCGGAAUUCCUGGUGUAGCGGUGAAAUGCGCAGAUAUCAGGAGGAACACCGGUGGCGAAGGCGGAUCUCUGGGCCAUUACUGACACUGAGGAGCGAAAGCGUGGGGAGCGAACAGG